UUUUAAUACUAGGGGAGCCUACUGUAGGCUGAGAGGAGUGAUCUGACCCUUUGAACCUGAUCUAGUUGAUACUAGCGGAGGGAAGUAUCUAUUCUUUCUA
rnacentral:ncRNA from 2 species